CCUGAGAAACCCAAAAGAUCGAAUGGGGAGAUUCAUCGUCAGCGAUACGGGUACGUGUGCGGUUCGCGAUGCUUCGGUACCUCGGUAUCGUGGCACGCGUCCGCAUGGUUUUUAUUGCCUGUUGUCGUCGGCGUGCACUUCUCCCCUAGUAGGACGUCGCGACCCGUUGGGUGUCGGUCUACGGCCCGGGAUGAUGCCUGUCUCGYGACGCGUUUUAUCGCGCGUCAUGGGGCAGACCCCCGGUUGUCUGGCCGGCUGCYCGGCGGUACUCGCACGGUAUCGGGCCGCAGAUAUUAAAACUGCGUCCGGCCCGCCGCAAGCGCGGUCAGUGUAUACCCGGAUGUACGGACCUAGCGCCGUCACCGGGCCUGACCAGCUGUUGGUUUGGCGGUGUUAUGGGACUGGCUCUGUAAUAAAAUUAUGAUACCGGUCGGCGACGCUAUGCUUUGGUA
rnacentral:rRNA from 1 species